AGGGGUGUAGCUCAAUUGGUAGAGCAGCCGUCUCCAAAACGGCAGGUUGAGCGUUCGAGUCGCUCCGCCCCUG
rnacentral:tRNA from 1 species